ACAGGGGUCAGUGGUGGAAGUGAGACUGAAAUGGACUCUGAAGUAAUAUCUGGACUUUGAAAUUGCAGCUGCUCCCAACCCCAGCAACUUUGCUAUCUUAGAACGGAUCACCAGUGAAAGAGGGGAAGUUGCUACUGUGAUGAAUUCUGCCAUGUGGUACCAGACUGCUGCCCAGACCACAGUGUCCUCUGCAACCCUGCUUCUCAGAUGACCAAGAUGGUGCUGCCGAUGGUGUUGAGGACGGAGAACCCACCAAGCCCCGUUAGGAGCCACCUAGACUGGAUGCAGAGCACAGUUCAGCGACUUCUCCAAACCAGCCUCCCAGGAAUGCUGUUCUCUAUGGCCGUGAGGGGAAUCAAGAAGAGAGCCUGACUCCUCUCCUGAGGUCCCUUCCACACCCUGAGCCAGCAGGAUCCACGGAGCAGAGGUCAUCUGCCCGCAACUUGGCCCACUGAGGCCAGCAUGGCUGGGCCCAGGAUGCUUGUCUCUCAGCUCCCAUCCUGUGUGCUUCCACAUUGGUUUAACCAGAGCAAAACUGACAUCUACAAUUGUCAUGAACAUAUUUAAAUGUGCAUAGAAUCAGCCAUACAAAUUAUGAACAUA
rnacentral:lncRNA from 1 species